rnacentral:rRNA from 1 species
UACGAAGGGGACUAGCGUUGUUCGGAAUCACUGGGCGUAAAGCGCACGUAGGCGGAUUCGUAAGUUAGGGGUGAAAUCCCGGGGCUCAACCUCGGAACUGCCUUUGAUACUGCGGGUCUCGAGUCCGAUAGAGGUGGGUGGAAUUCCUAGUGUAGAGGUGAAAUUCGUAGAUAUUAGGAAGAACACCAGAGGCGAAGGCGGCCUGCUGGGCUGCACCUGACGCUGAGCCGCGAAAGCCAGGGGAGCGAACGGG